AGCGAACGCUGGCGGCAGGCCUAACACAUGCAAGUCGAACGAUACCUUUGGGUCUACUGGCCCACGGGUGCGUAACGCGUGGGAAACUGCCCUGUGGUUCGGAAUAACAGUUAGAAAUGAGUGCUAAUACCGGAUGAUGACCUCGGACCAAAGAUUUAUCGCCCAAGGAUGAGCCGGCGUAGGUGUAGCUAGUUGGGAGGAUAAAGGGAUACCAGGGCGACGAGCCUUAGCUUGUCUGAGAGGAUGAUCAGACACACUGGGGCUGAGAAACGGCGCAGACUCCUACGGGAGGCAGCAGUGGGUAAUAUUGUACAAGGGGCUAAAUCCUGAUCCAGCAAUGCCGCGUGAGUGAUGAAGGCCCUAGGGUUGUAAAGCUCUUUUACCCGGGAGGAUAAUGACAGUACCGGGAGAAUAAGCCCCGGCUAACUCCGUGCCAGCCGCCGCCGUAAAAC
rnacentral:rRNA from 1 species